rnacentral:rRNA from 1 species
AUGCACGUGAUGUGGCACAAGACCGUCAAUACCUUGCCGGUGAUGAUCAACGGCCGGCAGACGGGCAGCAAAAAGGUUCUGGUGCUGCAUACCAACAAGAACUUCGACCAGCAGAGGACCAACUGGGUGAUGCACCAGUACCACCUCUGGGACCUGGAGCAAGAGAAGGAGCGGGAGCUGGUCCUCUCCAAGAUUUUCUACCAGACGAACACUAGGGCCAGGAGUAAAAAGAUUAUAAGGCCGAGCAAGUUUCAACUGGGCUGUAGACUGCCCAGGCUUGGUUUUGUUUUUAACAGGCCUAGCCCAUGA